UGCUCCAGCGCCCUUGCUUGAAGUUGUCCAGGUUCCUGAACUCCACCAGCGUGUUGCCAUAGUAGUAGUUGGUGACAUAGAUCCGCUCCUCCUUGGCCAGGGGGUCCUUCAUCCAGGCCCCCUCGUUGCGCCCGUAGGUGUUCUGAGUGGUGGGCCCCGAGAUGGUGGACAGCGUGUCCUUGCAGCGUCCAAUGAUGUUCCUGAUGUCCUCCUCCUCCAGGGCCUGCUUCGGGGUGGCGGGGAUGGUGGUGCUGAGCGGCGGGGGGGUGCUGGCCUGCUCUGGGGGUCCCGGGCUGCUCCCCGUGCCAGGCUCAGGGCUCAUCCCCACAUCCCAUGAGGUCUGGGUGGUGGUGGCGGCCACGGCGGGGCUGGGGACGGAGCUGUUGGCCACGGGCGGGCUCUCGGUGGCCGUGAGUGCCACCACGCUGGCUGACGCUGUCGGCAGCUGCGGGGUCUCCUCCUCGGGCAGCACCGAGGCCGUGGUUGCAGUCUCCAUGGUAGGGGGUGGCAGGCUGGCAG
rnacentral:lncRNA from 1 species